rnacentral:rRNA from 1 species
UAGGGAAUCUUCGGCAAUGGGGGCAACCCUGACCGAGCAACGCCGCGUGAGUGAAGAAGGUUUUCGGAUCGUAAAGCUCUGUUGUAAGAGAAGAACGUGUGUGAGAGUGGAAAGUUCACACAGUGACGGUAACUUACCAGUAAGGGACGGCUAACUACGUGCCAC